rnacentral:rRNA from 1 species
AUGCACUGGUUUGCAUGUUUGAAGUUGUGUGGGCCAAAGAAAUAAGGUGGAAUGGGAUCUCAAGAUAUUCAUUGUUUUAACCUAGCCCUUCUUGCGAAACAUGCUUGGUGGUUAAUUGAUAAUCCUAAUUCCCUUUGUGUUCGUGUUCUCAAAGCCAAAUAUUAUCCAGAUUGUGAUAUUUUGAAUGCAACUCUGAAAAAGAGAGCCUCAUUCACAUGGCAAAGUAUUAUGUCGGGGGUGUAGACCCUAAAAGGAGGCCAUGUAUUAUGGAUCCAUGAUGGUAGUCGGAUCAAUGUUUGGGGUGAUGAAAGGAUCCCUAACUCACCUACCAGGAAAGUGAUCACGGCUCGUGGAAGCAAUUUACUAUGAAAAGCAAGUGAUUUCAUUGACCCUGUUACGGGUCGUUGGGAUGAAGAGUUAGUUUCUCAAACAUUCUGGAAAGUUGAUGUGGCGCGGAUCCUUGCAAUUCCAUUACUUGAAUUUGAUAUGUCAGACCUUGUAGCAUGGAACUUGUGCAAAAAUGGGAGAUUUUCUGUGAGAUCGGCAUACUUUGCGGAGUGGCACGACCAAUAUGGACAUAAAAUAUCAUGAGAAAAUACAGUCGGACCCUCAUGGAAUUCACCAAUAUGGGGGACGAUCUGGAGCUUAAGUUGUCCUGGCAAGGUUAAAAUUUUCCUCUGGCAAACUUUGUUAGGAUCGCUUCCAUGUCGAGUGACUUUGGCUAACAUACAUAUAAAAGUCAGUGGGCAAUGCCCUACAUGCAGUAUAGGAACGUAGGAUACCAAGCACUUGUUGUUCACUUGUGCAAAAGCUGAAGAGGUAUGAGGGUUACUUGGUUUGGACUUUGCUAUUGAUAAAGCAUGCGUUGUGAAUCAUGUGGGAGAAGUUGUGCUAGAAUAUUUAUUGCUACAACCAGUUGAAGAUGUGUGGUCCUCGGUCUGGAAAAUUGAAUGA